rnacentral:lncRNA from 10 species
GCAGUCAGGACUUAGCUUCCCAGCUGUGAUCUAAAUCCCAGCCUCCCAAAGGCACAGCGCCUAAGUUCUCCCCUGCCAAGCUCACAGCCUUCUCCUUGGCAGGCUGCCCUUUCUCCUGCUGGACCAAACCAAGGAGCACGGUGACCCAGGGACACCACACUCGGUGUCAGCCUCUGAGGCCAUGGAGCCACGCAGACCCAGCACAGGAUUAGAAACAGACCUUCCCGGGAGGCAGAGAGCCAGGCCUCCUGGUUUAUAGCAUGACAAGGCAGCACUCAGGAGGACGCAUCAAUCCUUCUCCAUGUCAGCACCUGUGACUGUGACCACUGGUGAGGUGGACAUGCUUCUUUUUCCAUUUUACAGAUGAGGAAACUGAGGCCAAGGGAGGGUCAGCAGCCUGCCCUGGGCUGACUGGUGAUGCAGCGAGGGUGGGGUGUGGGAGGGUGGCGGCGGCCCUUGCAGUCCCUGGGAACCUGCACCUCUUCCUGGGCGCUGUUCCCCUCUCUCUCCCAGGACCCUUGGGCCUGGCGUUUCUUCACCUGCGACCAUCCAGGAGCUGGACCUGCCCUAGGGCGUCAGUUUCCAGGGAAGCCUCUGGCCUGUGUGUGAGCCUCCCCACCUGCCCGGCCACGGCCUCCACAGGCGCCCUGCGCAGCCCCGCCCCUCCUGGGGCAAAGGCUUUGCGAAGACUUUCUUCUCUGGCUCAUCCCUUUAAGGAGGCAUAAAAACGAACCCCGGGCCUCACAGGUCCGGAAUGCGCCCCCCUCCACGAUGGGAGCUUCUUGGCCUUGGCUGUGCAGGGGCCGCGGCUCCUGGGGGUCUGGCCGGAUCUGCAGUAGUGCUGAAUGAGCUGUGGCCAGGAAGACGCAAUGAAUAAUUGUCACUUAAAAGGAUAAACAGAAAUUCCAUUUCCCUUUUAAAUACUUGAACAUUUCAAAACAUCUGGAGGACGCGAUGCUUUUCCUUCCAAGCAUCUCCGUGGAGUUUUGUGGGUUACCGCAGAGGAUCGGCAGCAUUCCUCUCUCAGGGAAAACUGGCCUGAGCAUUGCAUAACGCAGGCAGACUGCACCCCUCACGUCGCCUGGGGCCACAUGCACAUGUUUCCAAGAGACUUGCUGGAGAAUCUUCCCCGGAUCUUGACAAAGUUGGACAUGGAAAGCACGUUGGUCCAUCCAAGGUCCACAGAGCGACCCUGGCUAUGAAAAAUCAUCCUCCGAGUGGGAGUCUGUCUGCCAGGAGUGAGGUGACACCGCACAUGGCCUCAGGAGCUGGAAACGCUGGUGAAUUCAGAUGCAGCCAAAGCUUCUAACUUAGUCACAGUUAUUAAUUAUUCUUGGUCUUAUUGGAGCAGGAACCACUGCCAUGCAUCAGGCCAGCAAGGCUCACUCCCCACCGUAGGAUCCCUGUGUAGACGGUCGCUCCAUCAGUGUAGUUGGGUGUGUGGAGCAAGGGACUGGGCUGACCCUACCUUCCAAGCAUCGAUGUGGCCUUCAGCAGAGCAGGAGGAGAUAGCCCAGGACUUGUACUUUGCAGUUGAAGUGCCAGACCUAAGAAAUGCAAACCUGAGGAUGGAAAGAGGGUGGAGAGGGGGGAGGUGUCUGGAUUGGCCGUCCAGAGCAGCCCCAGCUGCAGCAAGUGGAACUUGGCUGGCUGCCUCACAGGCCUGGUGGCAGCGUCCCCAGCGAGGAGCCUGUCCCACAUAUGAAGGUCCCCAUACCCUUAGCCCCUAGCUGAGAGUUUCACUGACCAGAGCUCCCUGAGUCCAGGGCUCCACUCAAGGGACUGCUGUCCCCGUUGGUGAAGAAGGCCUGUUGGGGCCAAUGCUUCCCCCCACAGGGAAGCGGAGCUGUAUUUUGUCGGACAGAACUUUGCAAGCCUGAAACAGCUGGUGGUGGCCCCAGAGCCAAGAUCUGACCUCACUCCAGAGUUGAAGGGCACAGAGAAGGCACAGCUAGAGGCGGCAGGUACCCCUCAAAGCUCUCGGGAGAGGGUACAAAGUGGGACCUCCCAGCACCCUUGGCCUCCAGGCCUCAAAAGCCCUGAGAGGGCUGCAUGCAAGGAGACAAAGCUGGAGAAGGAUGUGGGAGGCAGGUGGCUAAGAAGACAGGCUGGAAAGGGACGUGGGAGGUAGGUGGCUUUGCUCUAAACAGAAUCGUCUCAGUAAUGUGACACUGCACAUGUAUAGGUAGGCUCGCUCAUGGGCAUAACCCUCUAAAACACACCUUUUAUGGAGUGAAAUUCACUUAACAGCCAUCUUGAAGCAUAUACUUCGGCGGCAUUUGCUGGAUUCACGACGUUGUGCAACCUCUGCUUCUCCAGUUUCAGAACAUUUCAUCCCUCCAGAACAACAGCUCAUCCCCAUUAAGUAAUCACUCCUCAUUCCUUCCCCAUCCUCUGGAAACCACAGAUCUGCUUUCUGUCUCUAUGGAUUUGUCCGUUUUGGAUAUUUCAUAUAAAAGGAAUCACGCGGUGUGCGAA